UGCAUGUGUGCGUGUGUGUGUGUGCGCACAUGUGUGUGUGUGCGCACGUGUGUGGCUGCUGUCCAUUACUUUGACAUACAUGUCAGUUUACGCAGCCAUUGAACAAAUCUGUCAAAAAAACAUAAGAGUCCAGUUACAUGGGAGCUUUGGCAGUAAUCCAUCAUAUUUACCAGAUCACCCUCUCAUUACUAACAGAAAUUAUAAAUAUAUUUGAAUAGAUACAUGAAUGUCCUCUAUAUUUUUAUCUCAAUUAGUCUUUGUGUCCUUACCUCUUCCUCAGACUGAUUUUCUUUUUGAUAGCCUGUUUUUCAUUUUCCGCAACUGGCUCAUUUGUCUCAGGCUAGAAAUACAAGAGAAACACACAGAGUUAACGCAGAGCUGUAGCAGGUUGCAGUGGCAAUCCACUCUGGGGUGAGGCAAUACAAAACUGAUUCAAGACCAGCGUCACCACAAUCCAUAGCAACCUGUCUAUCCUUUAUGUUUCUCACAUGUUGGGAAACAGCAAUUUCCCGAAGGCGCUUCCCGCCCUUCUGGCUGGUGUCGGUGAUGGGAGGCAGAAUGGUGACGCCCACAAUGCCACAAUAUGGGUGUGGUUAGGAUGAAGCAGAAGGCGGGGCAUAUCCUGUCUGGAGGUGGCCCUCACAGCGGGGAGCGUGGCCUGUAGAGGUUCCUCAGGGGGCGGGUACGCCAAGGUCUGGCCAGGCAGAAGAAAAUCCACCUUCCCUGGGCUCUGUGCUGCCUGAAAGAACAAAUAGCAGUGUUAUAAACCAGUUUGUUUGAGUUUUGAAUGCGGAUUGGCUCAAAGCUGUGUGUGAGACUGCAUAUCACAUGAAUAAGGGCUCUAUCUAGGCUCUAUCAUGCCUAAGAACCACCUAGGCUGUGGUACAUUGGUUACAUAUCACAUACACUAAAGGGGAAUUGUUGUUUAAUAUAGAACCGCUAUAACACUUUGGACAUCAGGACAGUGUUAUUGUACAUCAUUCCAACUCCAUAAUGAUAAUACAUUUUAACAAUUAUACAACACAUUAAAGCACCCAUGUCAGUUUGCCGACUGAGGCAGGAAGGGUGUGGUUGGGAUGAAGUUGGGCUGCCAAAAGGACCUGGAGAAAAACGGAAUUAAACGUACUGAGGUGUUGAGACAGGGCAUGUCUGAUAAAGGCCACAUCCACACAAACACAUCUAGACACACAUCUAGAAACACACUAACACAUCUAGAUACACACAUCUAGACAAACCCUAACACGUCUAGACAGAUCUCAAGACUUGUAAAAGGAUGUAGACAGACGUGUGCACUCAGGAGCACUAUAUAAUAUACUGCCAAAUCAUUUAAUUUCUAUAUCAAUCAAAUACCAAAAAACACAUCAUUAAGUCCAAAGAUGGAUCUAUAUGCUGUCUCAGUACCUCAAAUGUACAUAACCUAUUUGAAAUGUAGUUCAAAUAAUUCAUCAAUAAAUAAUUUUUAGAAGACUUUAAAGACGGAUAACAAUUUCAAAUGAGGGUAGUCUUUUUGUUAACCUUGGAAUGAUAACACACUGAAAAUCAUCAAUUCCUGUAUGCUGAUCAAACCAUUCCUCAAGAUCAAACUUAGAGAUUGAGAGAGCUAUCACUUCCAGGUAACACAUGUCCUAAAACAUUACACACAACUCUCAAUGUGUCAGCACAACUGUCAUUGAGAAAACAUCUGUGCCAUUUGUGCGAAGACAAACACUGAGCGUCUUCAGAACCCAUCACUGGUAGAAAUCUCCAUAGAUAUUAUAACAGAAUAAGUACAUAGACAUGGAAGAUGGUACAAUUCUCUUACCUCAGGGUCACAGUCAAAUGACUUGAGAGAGAUGUCUUCAGCUGUUCUAGAAGAACAGAUUGCUCCACGUGAUCUCACCCAACUUGGUCUCGCCCAACGUGGUCUUGCCCCACGUGGUCUCUCUCUCACCUGAGGUACCUUCCCACAUUGAGGACAUAGACAGAGACAUGUACUCAGGGUCACUGUAAAAUAUGGUGACAUUGGUGAGGGUGUGGUUAGUGACCCUCCAUUUGUAUUGAACACAUAACUAGAGGAUGGUUUGGUUAAAUGCAAAGAUGGAUAUAUGUGGUGUCUUAGUACCUGGCAGGUAGUAUCUGGUGUAUUCAGCUGUGAGAAAAAACAGAAAACAUUCAGCACUCAUGUGUUAAUACUAAUACAUGGUGUAUUUGAAAUGUAGUUCAAAUAAUGUAUUGAUAAACUUUUGGGAUUGAGAGAGCUAUCGCUUCCAGUUCACACAUCGUAAAACUUUACACACAACUCUCAAUGUGUCAGCACAACUGUCAUUGACAAAAUAUCUGUGCCAUUUGUGUGAAGACAAACACUGUAAGCGUCUUCAGAACCCAUCACUGGUAGAAAUCUCCAUAGAUAUUAGAACGGAAUAAGUACAAAGACAUGGAAGAUGGUACAACUAUCUUACCUCAGGGUCACAGUCAAAUGAAUUGAGAGAGAUGUCUUCAGUUGUUCCAGAAGAAUAGACUGCCCCACAUGGUCUCUCUCUUACCUGAGGUACCUUCCCACAUUGAGGACAUAGACAGAGACAUGUACUCAGGGUCAUCGUAAAAUAUGGUGACAUUGCUGAGGGUGUGGUUAGUGACCCUCCAUUUGUAUUGAACACAUAACUAGAGGAUGGUUUGGUUAAAUGCAAAGAUGGAUAUAUGUGGUGUCUUAGUACCUGGCAGGUAGUAUCUGGUGUAUUCAGCUGUGAGAAAAAACAGAAAACAUUCAGCACUCAUGUGUUAAUACUAAUACAUGGUGUAUUUGAAAUGUAGUUCAAAUAAUGUAUUGAUAAACUUUUGGGAUUGAGAGAGCUAUCGCUUCCAGUUCACACAUCGUAAAACUUUACACACAACUCUCAAUGUGUCAGCACAACUGUCAUUGACAAAAUAUCUGUGCCAUUUGUGUGAAGACAAACACUGUAAGCGUCUUCAGAACCCAUCACUGGUAGAAAUCUCCAUAGAUAUUAGAACGGAAUAAGUACAAAGACAUGGAAGAUGGUACAACUAUCUUACCUCAGGGUCACAGUCAAAUGAAUUGAGAGAGAUGUCUUCAGUUGUUCCAGAAGAAUAGACUGCCCCACAUGGUCUCUCUUACCUGAGGUACCUUCCCACAUUGAGGACAUAGACAGAGACAUGUACUCAGGGUCAUCGUAAAAUAUGGUGACAUUGCUGAGGGUGUGGUUAGUGACCCUCCAUUUGUAUUGAACACAUAACUAGAGGACGGUUUGGUUAAAUGAAAAGAUAGAUAUAUGUGGUGUAUUAGUACCUGGCAGGUAGUAUCUGGUGUAUUCAGCUGUGAGAAAAAAACAUAAAACAUUCAGCACUCAUUUGCUAAUAAAUAUACAUGAUGUAUUUGAAAUGUAGUUCAAAUAAUGUAGUGAUAAAACAUUAGGGAUUGAUUGUGAUUACAGGUCCUACUUGAAUCUUCUUCCAAGAAGCCUGUGAAGACAGAUCAUUUCAAAUUAGGAAUCUGGCCAAUGACAACUGUGUGCGCCUCUCACCGGUCAAGCUUGAAAAUACGUCUGUUUGAGUGGAUAUGCUGCUGCUGGGCUAUUCGGUCAGUGCACUAGACUUACACAACACAAUUCAUGAGACAUGCUCAUCAAGGCAAGGUGAUGAUUGUCAGAGGGGAAAUCUCCUGCCACAAGAUCUUCAAAUGAGAAGUCUCCUGCCACAAGAUCUUCAAAUGAGAAGUCUCCUGCCACAAGAUCUUCAAAGGCAUUACACCAGGGAUGGAUCCAGCUGAUUACUGGCAAUUUGGAGGAUUGUUCUUUAUCUGCUACAUUGCACUGUCACUUCUGGUACAGAUUAAUUGACCUUGUUAUGUUUUGAUUUUACUUUAUUUGUAAUUAAGUCUCCAAUUGCACUUUAAUUGACACAGUGAAACUCUUGUAGAUGUAUCCAUUUCCUAUGAUUUUUCUGUAUGUUUUCAGUUGAGGAUA